CUUGGUCAUUUAGAGGAAGUAAAAGUCGUAACAAGGUUUCCGUAGGUGAACCUGCGGAAGGAUCAUUACCGAACUGUCGACACGAGUUGUUGCUGGUCCUCAAGUGUGGGGACACUUGGCUCAUUUAGAGGAAGUAAAAGUCGUAACAAGGUCUCCGUUGGGGAACCAGGGGAGGAUCAUUACCGAGUUGCAGAACUCCCWAACCCAUGUGAAUAUACCCGUUACGGGWGMUUGGGUGGGGGGACGCAGGGCGGGGCCGUUGCCUCCCCGUUGCGGAGGUGCUCGCCAGAAGCCCAACCACAACACGUCUUGUGYUAGCAGGGCAUUUCUGAGUAAAACAUGUAAUAAGUCAAAACUUUAAUCAUCGGAUCUCUUGGUUCUGGCAGCGACGAAGAACGCAUCGAAAUGCGAUAAGUAAUGUGAAUUGCAGAAUUCAUUGAAUCAUCGAAUCUUUGAACGCAGCAUUGCGCCCGCCAGUGUUCUGGCGGGCAUGCCUGUUCGAGCGUCAUUUCAACCCUCAAGCCAUGCUUGGGGUUGGGGCCCUACGGGCUCCGUACGCCCGGAAAACUAGUGGCGGGCUCGCAAUAACUCCGASAGGAGGACAAGUAUCUCGCUCCGGAAGUGUGGAGGGCUCUUCCCGUGURAGSSCCAUCUCACAAAAGGUAGACCUCUGAUCACGUGGGAUUACCCGCUGAACUUACUCCUAUCAUUAAACGGAGGAACACUGGGGCUCACAAAAGGUGCCUCUCUUCCAUGAGGAGGGAUGGCUCUUUGAACGUUUGAUCUCAAAUCAGGUAGGACUACCCGCUGAACUUAAGCAUAUCAAUAAGCGGAGGA
rnacentral:rRNA from 1 species